CAGCACGUUCCCGCAGAUGAUGAUAACGAUCAAUAAUAUCCCGAAGACGAGGGCCGGGAAGUUGUAGUUCGUGGUGUGGCUGGAGACGGUGAGGUUGGCCGGCAUGUCUGCCUCUACAAGAACCUGUCAUCCGGUUGUAAAGACGAAUGGAGGAGCGUUGACCUUUUACGUAUAUAAAAGGCUUGCUGUUGUGUUCAGCCAAAACAGUUGCGUAUAACGUCGUUGAAGGAGACUGAACCGAACUUUCAGGCAGCAAUGCAUCAAACUGGUGAGAUGAAUAACUAAACUUUUGCAUGAGUUCUGAGUGCAAAAUUUCAUUUAUGGACAGCAUCUGUGAUGUGAUGUUGAAAUUAUAUUUGAAAUUAAAUUAUUAAAAAUAAAAAGCAUUUUCCUUUUCUUUCUUUUUUACAAAUAAACGGUUUAAUUGUGUCUGUAUUGUUUUAUUAAUUGGUUAAUUUAUCAUUUAGUUGUGGACUGCUGUUUUUAAGUCUACUUUUUAUACACUGGAUUAAUGUAAAAAAAAUUAACUUACUUUUUUAUCAGUAGUUUGCAGUUCAUGGAAGUAUAUUAGUUGUGUGUUUUUGCCUUGAUUAAAGUAUUGAUCCGGGCAGGGACGUUUCUCUUAUUGAACCCUUUGAUAUUUUCAGUCAUAUCUUAUCUUUCUUCACACUAGACAGAAUGAAAGCAAACACAUUUUUAUUUUGAUCUGUGUAUGGUGUAGCAUAAAUUGCUAUGUUGUUAUUAGGGGACCUAAAUAUCCAUUUGUUAUCACAUGUGGGCGUUUCAUCGAUAUCCCAUUCCCUUCUCAUUAAUGUCAGAUUAAACUUUAAACAGUAUUCAAUAAAAAAACCUCACCAUAAAACGUUAUUAAACACUAUUUGUAUCUUAAAUCUUAAGUGUCAAUUUACUGAGUAAGGUUUGGUUAAAGUGAAGGGACAAUUCCGGGGUGCGUUUCCCGAGCAAUAGCGUAACUCACUAUCAUAAUAUGAUGAAUUGCUGGAGAAACUAACUAUUCACGACUCGUUCUCGCAAAAAAAAAACAAAAACAGGAACUUUGUCAGACAUCUGCCAUUCAAACCAUGUUGAAUAAAAUCGUCAUUAAUGAUGUCAAGCAGGUGGUGGAGUAAUAACUUUGGCCGAUUCGUUAGAUUUCACAGCAAUGCUGUAAAUAAUGAACGCUGCAUCUGAGGACUGAUUAAAUGUUCUUUGUCUAUUAUUUAGCUGCUUCCCUUACCUCAGGGUUCACUUAUACACAUGUUUAUAAAACCAUUUAAUUCUCAUUACAAACUAAACGACUUAAGGUCAUUGCACACCGACUCAGAAUUUCGUACAUAAUAAAAAAAAAUUGGAUUGCAUUCGAUUUUCAGCAUUUCUCAUCCACAGCAAGCAUUUUGAUAGGAAAUAUAAAAAAGCAUACAAAGAUUUCUAACUUAGCGUGCAAUGACCUUUAGAAUUAAAUUUGUAUUAAAUACACCCCAGCUCAGUUGUCUAUGUCAUUCUAACAUCAAGCCAUGCUCAUAAUCACAAGAUGAGUACUGUAGUUCAAACCACACUGUGAUGCUGUUUGUGAACCCUUAUUGGCAGAAUGUAUUUGGGUGGAAAAAACGAAUCAUUGACAAUGUAUCUUGGAUUUAGUCUAUCUCAGUUUGUCACAGAAUGAACGACGACCAGAUCAGAUUUCUGUGUAGAGCACUGGCUGUCGGCAGAGUCCUUGGCAAAACAAAAGUCUUACUUGAUUAUUACAAUUAAGACAAAAUGAAUGUAAACUGAUAUUUCCUACUGAGACACUAUAGCAAUAGAUAGAAAUAACUGACCAGUUAAGAUGGUGAAUAUGCUAGUGUUCUAACAAUGUUUUGUGGUGUUUGCUAUACUGCAUUUUGUUGGGCCUAUGCAGAUCACGCAAUUAAAAAAUGAAAGGUUCCACAACUAGUUCCACAAACGACUUUCAGUGAACAGUUCUUCAAAUAACCCUUUCCUUUUCUUAGUGUGUUCUUUUUUUAUAAUCUAAAGAGACUCCUGUGAAAUUGAAUUGUUCCGCUGAUCUUUCCACAAUCCUUCGUGGAACCAUCAAUGCCAAUCAAGGACCUUCCAGUUUGCAUGAAUUUAGCUUCACGUCCAACGUCAAACCUGCGUUCUGAAGCAAAACCAGUUGAGAACCUCUGAUCUGCAUCACAUCACGGGUUCAAAACCCUUAAGCUUCAAGUGACCGCCAUGAAUGCUGAAUGAGCCACCUGUUCAUGACGGUCACAUAAGACCAACACAUUAUCUGCGUGUGUUUGCUGAGAUUAGCGUUAGCCAUUGCAUGAAAACACUGCGGUAACUAACCAGUGUUCUGUUGUGUGUUUUUUUUUGAGUGUGUUUGUGAUCACAGAUGGCCGACGGCACCGCUGCAGCUGUUGAGUGCGGCUGCCAUGCCUACUCUUACCGAAAUUGGUUUUGGCUCAGCUGGGGCAGUUAUAAGACAGCAGGAGGGCAUUAUGGGUAAAUGGUCAUGUGGUGCGUGAACAUCUUUCACAGUGAGCGUGUUUGUUUACCUCUCUGUCACGGUGCAGAUUGAUUUUGAUUUACAGAUUCUCACACACUUUCAACGGCAGCUUACUGAUCCGCACGCAUGGAAAAGAUUCAUAGUGAUAUUGAUUUCAACGUAUUAAAAAGGUUAUUUACAUCAUAAAUCAAGGGAGGCAGAGGUUGACCUUUUAACGGGGAUUUCCUAAAUGUAUUUUGCCACAAUCUGUUAAUGUUCGUUUUCCACAGCCAACACAAUCUCACAGGAAUUUAACAUUUGUAUGAUGCAUAUGCCCCAGUGACAGUUACAGUAAGUUUAGUGAUCCAUAUUACUGUGAAAUCGCCACCUCGUAAAAUACUUCUGUUUUUCGAUGAGAUCAGGUUUACAACUAGCACACUCAGGGGUUUUAAGAAUGAAAACGAUCCGCCUUUAUACUAGCGUUUCCCCUGCAUUUCAGAAACGAUCUCCGUUUACACUACACAACCUAAAACACGUCACAUGACAAUUCAUGUACUGUACGUACACCCAUAGAUAUCUAUAAGCAUAUUCCUGAUUAUUCAAAUCACAAACACGUCUGAGUGCUUGGAACAAUCGAUUGGGGAAUCUACCAACGCAUAUUUAUAGGUACAAGCAUGGUGUUACUCUUUACACGGUCGUCAAGGAUACGCAGAGAGAAUGUGGGCCAUAGAUAUAUAUACGUAGAUGCCUCAUGAUACACAAACCGCCUGCCAUUUUGCAGCGGUCUGAUUUGACAUAAUUCACCAAAGUAAUCAAUGAAUUUUCAAAAGAUGCCACAAUCCUGCACAGAACGGCUCUGUUUGAACCCACAGGGUAGUGAAUGACGUCAAAUGCAUCGUUCCAAAAUGGUGGCCGCAUCUACAAGUCAAAAAGUUAAAAAAAUAGAUGUAACGGUAGCAAAACGUAGCAAAAAAUCUAAUAACUUAACCCUAAAAAGCUGUUGCUGUUGUUGUUAGCUUAGCACAAAAAUAGCAUAAAAAUUCAUUUGAGCCAUUCGCUUAUCUAAGCUUGUGCAUGGCCGAUCAAUCUCCAGCGAUCGGAGUGUUUCACUGUUUCACAUUUACAUGACAAUGUGUUUUUAGAGCCUGAAACACAAACCUUUCAAAAAUGUAAGUUUAAAAAUGAUACCAUUAUCUGCAAACUACUAAAAAAUGCAAACUGCGUUGUUCGCAUGCACAUGCUAAAUGUUCAGUCGCGUUUCUUUACGUUCGCCAGCUAGCGGCCUGGCAUGCAAUAUGCAGCAUUUUUAAUCGUAUUCUCAGAUAUGCGCAAAUGUGUGAUGUCCUUUCGCUCUCUACAGAGUCUCGCAUUAUGUUAUUAUUAUUUCAUGCAUUUGUCUUACAUUGACAACUAGGGGACUUGAAGGAAUUAGUGACUUUGUAAACCUGCGUUAUUCGAAAAAUCACAGAUUUGGAACGACAAACUUCAACCCUUUACCCUUCAUCUAGACAACCUCCGGAGGGUCACCUAAGAGUGGCCUGUCAUCUUGCAUCCCAAGUGAAAAUGACAGGAAUGCUGCGAGUAAAAUGGGUUUAGUUAUAUGAUUAAUGGCAUUAGCACCAGUUUGCGGAGAAGUGAAAAUUCGUCACGCAGACAGUGUAAGGGCUGUCAAAGAACAUGAACAACUGAAGUAUAUUUUGGGCUUCAGGCUGUGGUUUCUAGCUUUCCCAUGUGUGCUCAAUUUCUUGUUCCUCUAUGUGUUAAAACUGGCAGUAUAAUUUCACCUUCUUUGUCUCCUUUUUUCAGUUUCUUUUUUUUUGUCUAACUUGACAGUUUAACGGGUGUCGUGGGAUCACAACACCUUUUAGAAGAAAAGUGAUUUCUUUGUUUCCAGAACUUAUUGUUCUUAAAACUUAUAUUUUUCUUGUUAGUAGAUGUCUAUGUUUUAGAAACAUUUUAAAACAAUGUGCUCACAAUAGACUAUAUAAGCAAAACUUGUGUUGCCCUAUAAAAAUAAUUGUGGUGAAAAUAUUUGUAGUAAAAAAUAUUACAAAUAAAAUAUGCAAAGUACAAUAUCCUUGACCAUUUCUAUACAUUUAAUAUAAGAUACAUUUAAUAUAAAUAUAAUUAUAAUCAUUCUCUGCAUGGUACAUGUUUGUCAAAAGCGUUUGACUCCCUCUAUUGGUACUUGAUCUGAAGGUCUAGAACAUUAACAGUUGGAUCAAGAAAAUUAUUUUGGGAUUCUUUGAUCUAAAAAAACAGCCAUUAUGUGAAAAUGCAUUUGUAUAUUAAUUAAUAGCCUACUCUAAUUUUGGUAUCUCGGCUAAUCCAGGCACAUUUAAAAUAUUGUUGAGAAUCUAGUGGCGAGGAGAUGAUUGUGAGAGUUUUUUCCCCUGAAGAAACAUCUGUGGCCAGUUUUAUAAACCGUUUUUUUCCCUAUGGUCAUAACUCUAGCUGCUAGUUGGUCAGACUAGUUUUUAAGAAACAGUGGAUGUUUAUGAAGUCUUUAGCAAAUUCUCCAUUCAAUCUGAAUGAACUGAGCAUCUGCAGGAAGUUUAAGUGUAUGUCUUAUAAAGACAUUAGCCCAAAAUUACACUCGGUAAUCAUUCUGAAGUGCCAGUAUAUCAAUCACACAUGAUCUAAGUGUAUCCGUUUGCCGUCUUCUCGGUUUCCAUCCCUCACGCUGCUCAGCGCAGAUCAGUCAUGAGACUGUGUGUCAUUUGGACCCUCUCUCAUAUAUUUGGCAAUUUCAAUCAUGCCAAUGUUAAUUAUGCAGCCCGCUGCUUCACUAAGCACUUUUUUAUCUCCUCUAAUUGUGUAUUAUUAUAAAAUAUAUCUAUAAAAUAGGUCAUGCCAGCUGUCACCAUGUCAUUCUCAGCAGAAACGAAUGUGUUCAAUAACCUCCGAGAGAUCUUUAUCGCUCAUUAUUCCCUCAUAAAAAACAGACUGAACCUAUAAACCGUCCAAUUAGAGUCAAAAAUGAUGGUUAAGAAAGCAUACGGCUGUGAUUCGCUGCUGUUGGUGAGUUAGAGUCAAAGUCGGGUCUAUAAAAGAGAAAUAAGAGCUUCAUCAUUCGAAUCAUCUGUCGUGGAUUACUACUAAAGGAUAGAUGAUGUGUAGGCCUACUUCAGACUCAUUAGUUAAAUGACUUGCAAAGAAAGAGCCUGUUUGGGUUUUCAAUGUGCUCCAUUCUUUAUUAAUUGUAAGCGCUGUGUGUUUUAAAUUGACUUGGAUACAAGGCAUUAGAUCCAUAUAAGAUACUGCAUGAGGAAAAUUUGCUCAAAAAAUAAAUAAACAAAAGGUUUAUAAAAAUGCGAGUGUGUUAGCUCACUGCUAAUGCUAGUGCUUGGGUGCUUUUUAGUGUUGCUAGGUGGCUGCUAGGGUGUUGCUAGUUUGUUGUAAUUUUAAAUGUGUUGCUGUGUGGUAUCCGUUGUGUUUUGCAUUUUUUUAAAUGUCUUGCCGUGUGGUUAAUAGGGUGUUUUUUUAACAGAGUGGCCAUCUUGUUUUUAGUGUGUUUUGUGGUUGUUAGGCUUUUCUUAGAGUUUAAUUGUGUUGCUAUGUGGUUGCCAGGGUUUUUUUGGGGUGUUUUUAUUGUGUUGCCAUGCAGUUACUGGGCUGUUCUGACUUAGUGUGCGAUUUGUGUGUUGCUAUGUGGUUUUGCGAGGGUGUUUUGUGUUUCUUUGAAGAUAAUAGUGUCUUUUGAUUGGUGUUUUAAAUUGUUUUGCAAGGGAUUUGCGAUUGUUUAUAGUGUGUUGCUAUGCGGUUGCCAGGGUGUUCUAGUGUGUUGCUAUAAAGAUACUAUGGUCUUUUAAUUGUUUUUUUUUUUUUAAAUUGUGUUGCUAUGCAUUGGCUAGCGUGUUUCUAGUCUGUCAUGCGGUUGUUAGAGAUUUAUUGUGUUGCUAAUUGGUUGCUAGUAUUUUAGCGUGUUGAGCUUUUUUUAGUCUGUUGUCAUUUGGUUGCUAGGUCUCUGAUGUGUUGAAAAUACCGUCUGACUGAUUCUUAGAUACUGAUGAGUUUACUGAACAAACGAUCUUUACUACUGUCAUUCAUUCACUAAAGCGUGUGUGUGUUUGUAUGUCCACUCAUAAUCUGUUUUCUCACGAUCCUUCCUUCCUCAUUGAUUUGUUAGCAAUCCCAACAAUUCAAACAAGUAAACCAAUUCCUUGGCCCUUUCACCCGGUUUACCGUCAAUGAAGGAAGUCAACAUUGUUAGUCAUGUUUGUCUUUCUUAGCAUGAGUGCACGCGUGUGGUCAUCACAUUGUGUGUAAGGAACCGUUGGCAAAUAACUAAUGAAAAAGCAAAUAGUCAGGCCAAUAAAACUCAUUUAGGAUAGGACUUUAUUACAUCACGCUGAUGAUUUGUGAUCGAUGACUUUGGGGGUACAAAAAGGCUCGGAAUAAAAAGCAGACAAGAAGCUUUAGAAGACUGCUAGAUUACUACAAGAACAUCAAACCGAAGGUGCGGAAAUGUCUCUUCUCACAAGCCUGACGCAAGUGUCCAUCCUUGCGAUAUUUCUCAUCCAGUGCGCGACCAGCCUUCCGGUUUUGGGCAGGUAUCUCGGACAAGAAGACGGCGUCUCAACAACAGACAUCUUUUCACCUAGAAAGAUGCUAUUUCCCAGGGAUGAUGCAGAUAUGUUUUUUGAUGACAGAGACGGGAGAUCUGGGCUUCAGACGAGGCAGUUGGGCGACAUCGAGUUCACAAACAGAUACGCUGAACUCCUCAAAUCCAAAGCUAAAAUCACAUCCAUCUGCGCCUUCUUGAAACGCAUGCAAAGCAGCAAGAAAAGCGGUGUCGGUGGAGAAACAGACAGACUGAUUUCCCUGAUGAGACAGUAUUCGUGUCCGAACGUGUAUCAGUGAAGACUGGCUUCACGUCCAAAUCACUUGAAGAAAACAACUUCACAAUGUCCGAAUCAGUUUUAACAUGUUUGAGGCAAACUGUGUGUAUAUAUUUGAAUAAAUAAUGAUUUUGUUUUUCCUCCAAAUGUGUCUCAUUACGCUGCAUAUUCAGCUGCGGUCAAUAACAUUUCAGAUGCAAAUUAAACUCUGGGUUUGA